rnacentral:RNase_P_RNA from 1 species
CGGAUAGCUGCUGGGAGACUUGCUCUCCUAGAGGAAAGUCCAUGCUCGCGCCAUCUGCGAUGAUGGCAGUGAUUGUGCUAGGUUAAUCAAUAAGCCUAGGCAGGGAGGAGUCCCUGACGGCAGAGAAGAAUCUAAACCUUGGUUUCCAGGGCACGAUGUCUUUUCUUGAAAGCUCCACAGUGACGAAUCUUAAGGGAAACCUUAAGGAUGAAACGUUGGAAAGCCCCGCAAGCGAGAAACCUAAAUUUUGGUAAGGGAAGUCGAAAAGGGGAACUGAACCCUAUAGACAGGCUCUAACGCUUAGAUAAAUUGCUAUCCUCGACAAAACAUGGCUUACAG